AUUCUUUUAUGAAUGAGACUGGAAUGGUUUAAAGGUGUAAGGCAAAGGUCCUAGAACUCAGAGACACAAGUACCAAUGCUAUCCUCGUUUCUCAUUGUACGGACAUUAAAAGCUGCCCUGUGGGAAGAGAAAGUUGCCUAGAGUUCUCAUUCAUCCUCAACUGUUGGAGCGCCUCCUGUGUGCCCAGAGCACUUCCGAAGAUGCGAGUGAUUCGGAGCACUGCGAUCUGACAGUGUUUCUUCCCUCACCUCCGACUCUAUGGGGGUGGAAACAAAAUAACAAAGUUCGCCCUGGCUUUCUCACGCCUGCCAUGCGCUGCCAGCUGGUGCAAUGAAAGGACGCGCCAGGUUACAGGUGUAGAUUGUGAGGCGGACGCUGAUACUAAAACGUAACGAAAAUUCGUCUCAAAAUUUGCUCUCUCCCAAACAAGCACUCAUAACGGUCUCGUUACGUGAACUUCACUGAUAGAUGGCAUUCUCCAACUUGCCUGUGGCCUGUCCUGUUACUCUUCCAGCCAGACCAGUAGCAGCAGUGUAAUCAAACGGCGACAGUCUAACAACCUUCAUCUGGUGAUGGAUGGAGAUAGAGACAGAGACCCACACUGGAGCACUGGACUCAGCUCCCAAGGUCCCAAUGAGGAGCAGAUGGAGGGAGAACGCAAGCAAGGAUGUCAGGACCACGAGGGGUGCACCCACCCACUGAGACAGUGGGGCUGAUCUAUUGGGAGCUCACCAAGGCCAGCUGGACUGUGACUGAAAAAGUAUGGGAUAAAACCGGACUCUCUGAUCAUGGUGAACAAUGAGGGCUGAUGAGAAGCCAAGGACAAU